rnacentral:sRNA from 1 species
ACCAUGGCGACGCGCGGUGGGGCUGGGGUGGCAAUGGCGGCUUGGUCCAUCUUAUACGCCCGGGCCGUGACCACGUUCCUUCUGUUGUUCCUCCUUCGCUUCUUACAGGCCCAGACCUUCUCUUUCCCUUUCCAGCAGCCGGAGAAGUGCGACAACAACCAGUACUUUGAUAUCUCCGCUCUCUCGUGUGUUCCGUGUGGAGCUAACCAGAGUCAAGAUGCCCGAGGAACUUCAUGUGUAUGUCUACCAGGAUUUCAGAUGAUCUCUAAUAAUGGAGGACCUGCUAUUAUUUGUAAAAAGUGCCCAGAAAACAUGGUGCGCAUAAUUUAUUUUAAAAUAACUUACCUGUAAAAAGUAGUAAGUUAAAUAUCUUUAUUUUUCAAAAUAUAAUUUAAUGUUUAACGUUUCCCCACAGACUUUAAAAUUACUAUGCUAAUUUUAUUUUUACUAGAGUAAGUUUUGGGAGAUCAGCGAAAUUUUAUGCAAACUUGGAGAAAACAGAAAUGUAUUUAUUUCUUUUAAAAUCUGAAAUCCAAAAAACCAUAAAGCUGUAAAAAUUUAAGUUUUUGUUUUUACUCGUAGAACUCGGUUAUGAAGAAAAUUAGAUGAAUAAGGCAUAUAAAGAGCAGUUUGGGAUGUGUGCAAUUUGGGAUGUGUAUAUUCUUUUGACUGAUGCAAGUGGAGUUGUCUUAGACCUACCAUGUCAACAGUUUAUAUGAUUAUUGAUGUUCAUAAUGAUAUCUAAGGUGUAAUUAUUUCAUGAAAUACCAAUUGCAUUAAUAGAUUAAAUAAUGUCUGUUUUGUUAGUAAUUUCAUUGUAUCGUAAUUUUUGAAAAAUUAAUAGUUACUAUAUAUAAUUCUCAACAUAAAUAUAUUUUUCAAUCAUGUUGGAUAAUUAAAAGUCUGUGUAACAGUUGUGACAUUUACAGUAAUGUUUCUUCCCAUUGUCAUAUAAAAAAACAUUAAUUCUGGGAAUUUAGCAUGAAGUUAUCAAUUGUCCCAAUUUACAGCUAUCUGUAUUACUUGUAGGUCUGAUUACCAUUUUUUAUAUUACCAUUUAUUUUAUAUCUUUAUAAUAGAUUAUAAUAGAUUACCAUUUAUUUUAUAUCUUUGCAAAUAUUGAUCCUAGCUGAAUUACCCAUGAUAAAAAGAUGCUAAUAAAAAGUGAUCUCACAGCAGAUUUCUUUUUCAGUGACAUUGUUUAAGUUAUUGUAAUUUUUAAAUUGUCCUAUAUAGGCCAGGCACAGUGGCUCACGCCUGUAAUCCCAGCAGUUUGGGAGGCUGAGGCUGGUGGAUCAUGAGCUCAGGAGUUCAAGACCAGCCUGGCCAAUAUGGUGAAACCCCAUCUCUACUAAAAAUACAAAAAUGAACUGGCUGUGGUGGUGUGUGCCUGUAGUCCCAGCUGCUUGGGAGGCUGAGGCAAGAGAAUCACUUGAACUCGGGAGGCAGAGGUUGCAGUGAGCCAAGAUUGCACCAUUGCACUCCAGCCUGGGUGACAAAGUGAGACUCUGUCUCAAAAAAAAAAUAAAAUAUAAAUAAAUAAAUAAAUAA